rnacentral:tRNA from 1 species
GACUCCAUAGCUAAGUGGUUAUAGCAUGAGAUUGCAGAUCUCGGGGUCGCGUGUUCGAGUCACGCUGGGGUCU